GUAAUUUACAUCUUGUUUUUCCAACUUUUUUUAGCUUCAUGGAGGAAUCAUUGUAACAUUGGGGCUAUGUGUGAAUAUCAUUCAUUGAUCAUUAAAAAGAUACAAGUUUUGGCAAGAACUUUCUAAGAAGGCUGUUGAUGAAGAGCUUGGAAGACAAACCUCAGAAAUGGAUUAUGAAAAAACCUUUAGAAAAUACCAGUGCCUUGUAGUAAAACAAGCUCUUGGGUGUUGCUCUUUAUUUGCUUCUGAAGUGGCUGAGGACGCUGGUACAGAACUGAAGAUGAGGAAUACGAAUAUAGUCCACAUGUGGUGAAGGCUUUUGAUGGGGAUAAUUUUGAGCUGCUUAUUCUCAUUAUAACGUUGUUAAACUCAGUUUGGUUUUUUUUUUUUUUUGGUACCAGGGAUCAAACUCGGGACCUUGCACUUGCAAGGCAGGCAGUGGCACCACUGAGCUAAAUCCCCGGCCAAAACUCAGCAUUUUUAUGGUGAAUAAAAAUAUGGUGGAGGGUGGGGGAUUUAGUAUAUGUGCUGCCGAAGCAAGCAAUAGGGUGGGGGAUUUAGCUCAGUGGUUCCUCUGCCUGCCUGUAAGCACAAGGACCCGAGUUCGAUCCCUGGUGCCAAAAAAAAAAAAAAAAAAGAUAUGGUGGAAAUGGAUAUUGUUGAAAAACUGGUAAAACCGAUACCGUAUGCACGUGAAGAUUUACUGAAUAUCACUCUCCGGCUUUUACUAAACCUGGCCUUUGACACAGGACUGAGGAAUAAAAUGGUACAAGUUGGACUUCUUCCAAAACUCACUGCACUCCUAGGCAAUGAAGACUACAAAUAGCAGUAUGUGUAAGCAUGGAUGAUUGCUUUAAAUCAGUGUUUCCAUACUCUGACUGUAUACCCAGUUAAUGAAGAUGUUCUUUGAAUAUUCAGAUGAAUUGAUUUGAAAUUCAUUUCUCUCUGCAUUAACCUUCCAAAGAGACAAAUGUUCUGUGAAGGAAAUGGGCGGAAGGUGCUCAUGAAAAGGAAAUUCAAGGAUCCAUUGCUCUGAUGAAAAUGAUCAGAAACAUUUCCCAGAAUGAUGGACUAAAAAUCUGUUUAUUGAUUAUGCUGGGGACCUUACAGCCCAGCUCUCUUAAUGAUGAAGAGGAGGAUUUUGUGAUUGAAUUUGCUCUGGCAGGGGCUGGGGAUUUAGUUCAGUGGUUUUGCUGCCUGCUGUGCAAGCGCAAGGACCAGAGUUCAAUUCCCGGUACCUAAAAAAAAAAGGAAAAGAAUUUGCUCUGGCAAAUCUGACCUUUCUAGACUUGGACUGAGAACUGGUUCUUAAGGAGUACAAGUUGGUUCCAUACCUCAAGAAUAAAAUAAAACCAGGUGCAGAAGAUGACCUUGUCUUAGAAGUGGUUGAAACAACUGGAACUGUAUCUGUGGAUGACUCUGGUGCUACAAUGCUAGCUAUAUCUGGGGCAGUCUGCCCUUACUGAAUUGCUGAGUGCUCAAUAAGAAGAUGAUGAAUUUGUGUGUCAGAUAAUUUUUCUUCUACCAUAUGGUUUUCCACCAAGCCAUGAGAGACAUCAUCAUCAAGGAAACAGGCUCCAGCAUAUCUCAUAGAUCUGAUGCGUGAUAAAAAUAAUGAAAUCUGAGUCUGUGAAAAAACCCUAGGUAUUAGAAUAUGAUGACGAAUGAGCUAAGAAAAUUCAGAGGGAAGAGUUUUGCUGGCAUAACUCUCAGCAAAGAGGUGGAGAUCGAUGGUAGGGUCGUCAGAUUAACUCCAGCUCCUCCUGUCUUCUGUUGAGUACAGUUGAUGCCAACACUGUUCAUUCAUCCGGCCGCAUCUUGAUGCUGAAUAACACUUCCCAUGAGACUCAAAAGUGAAUAUUGAAAAGCUAUUAGACUGGAAAAAAAAAAAACC
ensembl:lncRNA